rnacentral:rRNA from 1 species
GACGAACGCUGGCGGCGCGCCUAACACAUGCAAGUCGAACGAGCGAGAGAGAGCUUGCUUUCUCAAGCGAGUGGCGAACGGGUGAGUAACGCGUGAGGAACCUGCCUCAAAGAGGGGGACAACAGUUGGAAACGACUGCUAAUACCGCAUAAGCCCACAGCUCGGCAUCGAGCAGAGGGAAAAGGAGUGAUCCGCUUUGAGAUGGCCUCGCGUCCGAUUAGCUGGUUGGUGAGGUAACGGCCCACCAAGGCAACGAUCGGUAGCCGGACUGAGAGGUUGAACGGCCACAUUGGGACUGAGACACGGCCCAA